UACAGAGGUCCCGAGCGUUGUUCGGAUUCACUGGGCGUAAAGGGUGCGUAGGCGGCGGGGCAAGUCUGAUGUGAAAGCUCGGAGCUCAACUCCGAAAUGGCAUUGGAAACUGUUCUGCUGGAGGGCUGGAGGGGGGACUGGAAUUCUCGGUGUAGCAGUGAAAUGCGUAGAGAUCGAGAGGAACACCUGUGGCGAAGGCGAGUCCCUGGACAGCCACUGACGCUGAGGCACGAAAGCUAGGGGAGCAAACAGG
rnacentral:rRNA from 1 species